UACGUAGGGUGCAAGCGUUAAUCGGAAUACUGGGCGUAAAGCGUGCGCAGGCGGUUUUGUAAGUCUGUCGUGAAAUCCCCGGGCUCAACCUGGGAAUUGCGAUGGAGACUGCAAGGCUAGAAUCUGGCAGAGGGGGGUAGAAUUCCACGUGUAGCAGUGAAAUGCGUAGAGAUGUGGAGGAACACCGAUGGCGAAGGCAGCCCCCUGGGUCAAGAUUGACGCUCA
rnacentral:rRNA from 1 species